GGGGGCGACCUGGCUUCGACGUGGGUUGUGCAGGAUCUCAGGGCAUGCCGAGGACCAGUCACCUCGUAAAUCCAUCUGGAACACUACAAACGCCAAUAACGAGCGUUUUGCUUUAGCCGCUUAAUACCGGCUAGACGCUGCACUAGCUGGUCACUGGG
rnacentral:tmRNA from 1 species